UCUGCAAGCUUGUUGAUUAUAGAUCUUUAGACAUGGUUUCUCAACGUAGCACUGAUUUUAACUCGUGAAGAUAGAUUUUUAUUUCCUAUAGGCAUGUUUUCUAAUUGCGGAAUUGACUUAAACCUUAUAGGCAUGAUUUCUAGGUUUCAAAUUAAUGUUAGUCCCAUAGGCAUGAUAUCUACUGAUUUAAACCCUACAUGCAUGAUUUCUAGGUUUGAAAUUGAUUUUUUAAUCCUAUAGGCAUGAUAUCAAUUAGUUGUAUUCAGGCAGAG
rnacentral:lncRNA from 1 species